GACAGAGGGUGCAAACGUUGUUCGGAAUUACUGGGCGUAAAGCGCGUGUAGGCUGCUCAGAAAGUCGGAUGUGAAAGCCCUGGGCUUAACCUAGGAAGUGCAUGGGAAACUGCAGUGCUUGAGUACUUAAGAGGAUCGCGGAAUUCCCGGUGUAGAGGUGAAAUUCGUAGAUAUCGGGAGGAACACCAGUGGCGAAGGCGACUACCUGGCCUGUUCUUGACGCUGAGGCGCGAAAGCUAGGGGAGCAAAAGGG
rnacentral:rRNA from 1 species